UUAUGUGAUCGUCUCUCGCAUAUCAAUAAGCGGAGGAAAAGAAACUAACAAGGAUUCCCCUAGUAACGGCGAGUGAAGCGGGAAGAGCUCAAAUUUGAAAUCUUAAAGGGUUUCCCUUUACGAAUUGUAGUUUAAAGAAGUGUUUUCUGUUGAGGUUUUGGUAAAAGUUCUUUGGAAUAGGACAUCAUAGAGGGUGAGAAUCCCGUAUUUGACCUUUACUUUCAACUUUGUGAUACACUUUCAAAGAGUCGGAUUGUUUGGGAAUGCAGUCCUAAAAUGGGUGGUAAAUUUCAUCUAAAGCUAAAUAUUGGCGAGAGACCGAUAGCGAACAAGUACCGUGAGGGAAAGAUGAAAAGAACUUUGAAAAGAGAGUUAAACAGUACGUGAAAUUGUCAAAAGGGAAGCGUUUGACACCAGUGUUGUUUUUCUGAAAAUCAAUUAAAGAACUGUUUAUGCUAAGUUGUUUAGACUUUAUCAGCUAAUCUGCUUAGUUUUGAGCUUUUCUUUAGUGCACUUUUCAGUUAACAAGUCAACAUCAAUUUCUUUUGCUGUAAAAAAGCUUGAGGAAGGUGGCUUGAGAUUCGUCUUAAGUGUUUAUAGCCUCUUGCCUAUGCAGUCGGAGAGAUUGAGGUCUGCAGCGUAGAUCCUUCGGGGCUAAAUGCAUUUGUGCUAAGUUAUAGCAUUUUAUAGACAACUUGUUGACUAUGAUUUGUCUUGUAGCUUACUCGCUUAUGUUAUUUUACCUACGCUUAGGAUGUUGACACACGCGCGUGCUCG
rnacentral:rRNA from 1 species